rnacentral:misc_RNA from 1 species
UGAAGUUGAAUGACAGCACUUGGUUGAAAUGUGAGGAAAAUGACUUCUACAUCCCCCUCUCAAGUUCAAGCAGCUUUCCUGCUCAACCUGGACAGGGACAAUCUAAAGUGGUACUAGAAUCUGAAAAGACUGUGGAAGCAAAUAAAGAGGUUUCUCAAAUUUCAUAUACUGAUGAUAUAAUUAGUGAAAUAAGGAACUUAGUAAAUGACAUUUCCUCUGAGAAGAGUCGUGGGACAAAAACAAAAGGAGCACAAGAAAGCAUUCUUCAAGAAAUUGAGAAAUUGGCUGCUGAAGCCUACAGUAUCUUCAGAA